UACGGAGGGUGCAAGCGUUGUUCGGAAUUACUGGGCGUAAAGCGCGCGUAGGCGGCUAUUUAAGUCAGGGGUGAAAUCCCGGGGCUCAACCCCGGAACUGCCUUUGAAACUGGAUAGCUAGAAUCCUGGAGAGGCGAGUGGAAUUCCGAGUGUAGAGGUGAAAUUCGUAGAUAUUCGGAAGAACACCAGUGGCGAAGGCGACUCGCUGGACAGGUAUUGACGCUGAGGUGCGAAAGCGUGGGGAGCAAACAGG
rnacentral:rRNA from 1 species